GCCGCCGUAGCCUAAUGGUUAUGGCGUCGCCUUCCUACGGCGGCAAUUACGUAAUUGCAGAGGAAUAAGGCGGAGGUUGCGAGUUCGAGUCUCGCCGGUGGUU